rnacentral:misc_RNA from 1 species
AAAGAAUGGAAUAAUUUUACCCUUUGGUAAGAAAAAUUUGACAUGAUGCACUUUUAAAGAGGUACGUGAGAGGAAAAAAAGGUUAUUGUUAAUGUUGUACCUCAAGAGAAAUUCAGACAAUCAACAUACUUGGUUUAUUCAAUAUCUUCCAUUAUAUGUGGGCUGUUGUUUUUGUUAUCUUCCUUGAACACUUAAUAAAAACGGAUUGGUAAAUGAGAAAUUGUAAGUAAAUCAACCACAAAAGACUAAACCAGAUAUAUACACAAAGAGAAAUGAAUAAUGACUGGUUUGUUUUUAA